rnacentral:lncRNA from 1 species
UUUAAUAAGAAAUACAUCAUAUCCACAACUUUGUAUUGAGAUUUUUCAAAGGAAUAAAUGAAUUGACAAUAUGAUACUAGUGUGUAAACCAAAACCAUACAAAGAACGGCCAACAAGAGCACAAACGUGUAAAACCCUCACAAUGGUCCAAAUAAGAGGAUAUGAGCUCUUCAACAAAAGAAUCAAAGGAGGAAGAUACAUGCUCAACACUGCAACUCCUCGGGACAAGGCUCUUCCCGAGAGUGUUUCAUCCUUCCACCACAUUUGCAUCCAGUGGCAAGCCCAUGUGGGUUAGAUUGUAGAGUGCAUCCUUGUUGCUAUCACCACAACAUCACAUCAUUGGAUACCAACAUGUGUCGGCUUACUUCCUGAUCAUGCCCAUGAAAAAAACAGAAUAAUUGAGAUGUCUUGGGGAAAAACUCAUUGUCUUAGCAUGUUUAGUCGCUAGCUAGGUAUCUAGUCCAUGUUCCAUGCUUAAUUCUACAAUUUACUUGGUCAAGCUUUAUUUAUUGCACCAACCUCGCCAUUAUCAAUCUAUAGUAGAUCCAACCUCGAUCACAUAGUGACACUUGACCAAGAUUCGUUGUGAACUACUUUUGUUGGACAAGAAUCAUAUAUUAUGUUUAUUCAAAAACUUUAGGUAAGGUGACCACGUGAGGUGGGGUGCAUAUAUGUGGGUGGCUUCAUUAUAACUCUCCCAUUCAUUUAUGAAACAUACUCCCCUUCUUUUUCUUCUUUUUCUCCGGACUUAUCAACAUUUAGCCAUUGCCCAAAUCGCUAGAUCUUCUAGGUCUACCCAAAGUCAGACGUCUGAAGCCAUGCAAGUCCUCAUAAUCAUCCAUAUUUAUUGCUACUUUAUAAUCAAUAAAGUAUGGUACCUGCGAGGGGUGGGAAAAGUUAUACUAGUGUCGAACCAAUAAUCAGGAAAAGGCCAUUUGAAGCACAUGUAUAAACAUUACUAUGCUUAGUGGGGGGUUGAAUAGACUAGCUAGUGACUCGUUUCCAAUAUUAAGUUUAUGGUAGUUUUUAGCUUUUAUAUCUCUAGCCUACAAACACCCUACACAAGCAAUUCUACAAGAGUAUACCAGCGGAAGACAUUAAAGUGUAUAUGUAAAGAGUAAAGGUUAGGAGAAUGUAGACACGUGGAGGCUCGACGAAGAUUUUUUUUUCCAUGGUUCGGGUAGUUGGCGCUAUUAUACUCAACGUUGAUGAAGACUUUGGACACGAAGGUUCUAGGAUCACUUAAGAUUCUGUUUGCAAGAUCCAAGGAGGUCUACACCCAUGAAGGGUCCAUAAUGGAGCAACCAACAUGUGCCAAGCUUGCAUACGACCACAAAGGUCUAGCCUCAGUUGGAGUAGAUCUUCACAAAAUAGGCGAUCUUCGGGACCAAACAAACUUCUUGGUUCCUUUGCACCAUGAAGGCUCCCAAGAACACAUGGUCGGUCUAAGAGGCGCAGACCCUCCAAAAGUAAUAAGAUUGAGGUUGCUUGGUGAUGAACCUCUUAUUUUUGUGCUUCAAAAGAUAAUCUCACACUCAAAACUCGAGAUGGGGCUUUGGAUUGGAAAGUUGGAGCGGAAAGAAAGGAGGGUGAUUAGAGCUCAACAGAGUGGCUUGAAAAGUUGGUGUAGAAAUCCCUUUGAACUCAGCAUGAGGAGUAGUUGUUCUCUCUCAAGUGAAAUUAUGGUAUCAGUGGGGUAUGUGUGUAGGUUGGACGCAAAAAUGUGAUUGUCGGGCGCUUUUUAGCAAAGCUCGGAGGCUCCAAAUGACCAGCUCAGAAUCAUUGAAUAAAACUAGAAGAUGUAACUUCCAAAUAGUUCUUAGGGACCGUUCUAAAGUCGUUCAGAGGCUCCGAUCGACCAAUGGCUCACCUACACAUGCUUCUGGAAGACGUUUGAAAAUUCUGAUCGAAAACAUUCACACAUUUCCAUGGUGGGUUGGAUUGAGAGCGCAUAACUAAUUAAGAUUUUGUGGCUACGCAUAGAUCUUGCAUGUGAAUAAUUUGGGAGAUCGGUCAAGGUUACUUAAACCGCCUUAAAAUCUAUCUAACCAUCCUUGCUCAAUUUUACUUUUCAUGUCCCAUGAGCGUAGCUGGUGCACAUUCAAUGUUUUUAAAGCAUUAAAGAGAAACGUCACCUACAUAUAUAUUGUACCAAAAGUAAUUAUCAAUCUUACGCGUCAUUGGACUACAAACCUCCAUAGCCUCAGGAGUGAAACGGCAUACGUGGGAAAUGAAACACGAGCCAAGAUAAGGGUAUGAAUUAGGUAUACCAUGAUAUUAACAAUUAAAAUUUCUCAAAAUAAAUCCACAUGAAAACCAAUAAAUCGAACCGGAAGAAAUUGGGCAACUAUGUAUGGUCGAUGGAGAACUUGAGGAUGGGGGUUUCGGUUCUCCGUCCCUUGGUGUGGUGGUGAAAUGGAGACUACGUAUAUCUUGAUGGCAAGAGUUCUAUAUGUUAUAUUUUAUAUCUCAAUGCAGAGAGAGACAAAUAUGAAGCAUUGGGGCACACACCAAGGUGUGAUCCUUGUAUAGUUGAACCAUGACAACCAACUGGACCAUACAAGGACUCUUUAGUUGGUGUUCCUGAUGCACCUCUUGCGACAUUCUUCUUCUUCACUUCCCUUUCUUGGUGAAUUUAUUGAGUCGUGUCUUCAUGAGACAUCAAUUGUUGACAUCUUAGGAAUGAAUGUACAUCAAGACUUAUGGUAUAUAUACAGUAAUAAAAAUAUAGAUAAGGUGCAAAAUCGCACAUGCAAAUAUGUAAGAAAAAUGCAUGCGCCAACAUCCACCUACAUGAUUCAUUGAAAGACCUUGCUUAUCCAUUCAUCUUCCUCACCACUAACUAGCUAAAUAAUAUUUUGGUACCAUUUCUGACAAUAUAAUUGGCAAUUCCUCAUACGCACACAUUGCAACACCGUCGAUAGUAGUCCAAGUAAAUUUAAUCUCAAUUCCAUCUAGUAAUUGCAUUUACGAGCUUCUCCCUAUAAUGAUGAGCUAAGCCCCCUACAUUGUUUCUCUAUAAUCCUCUGUUCUUUCCUUCACUUAAAAUGGUGUCUUCUUCAAUUGGGUUUAGCUCACCGGCCAACUAACACCACAUUCCGGCCAGCCCUGGAAGCCUAAUAUCAAUGAAAAUCGUCAAUAAAAUGGAAGUUCACUUAUCUCUAGUCGUCGCCUUCUUACGAACAUAUCAAUCGUGUCACUCUUGAACCCUGGUGCCACCACUUUUUCUCUAGCAAAGAUCUAAAAAAAUCUACUUCAUUGUAAAGUGGGUAAGACUUCGACUUUGUUGGAAUAUACGGGAGUAGGAAUACAACUCACUCUACUUAGAUGACAAUCCUAAAAAUAUACACAAGUGCACCUCACUAAGCAAAAUAUGUUCUGCAUUAUUCAAGGUCGUCGAUUUAACAUCCCAUGUUUCUGAGCCUGAGAUACAAUAUUCAUUCAAUUAUGUUCAUACGUGUGUGUUCUUAUAUAUGUGCAUGUACAUCCUUCAAUUGUAGUGUAUCCCACCCAAAAUAUUUUAAUGAGGAAACAAUUCAUUUAGAAAACUACAUAUUGUUUAUAUUUGAUAAAGAAUAUCCAUAAAAGCUUGUGAAUCAAAAGUUGUUUUGGUCAAGUUUUAAUGGCUUACGGGGUUAAGAUAAAUAUUCUACAAAACAUAAUAUAAUUUAGCUCUAGCAACUUAAGUGAUCUAAAACCACAACAACUUAGGUGCUCAAGUGAACUCUAUGCAGCUUGGAUUCAAGACAAUGGCAAGAAAACAAGGAAAGGGUCUAUUUUACUCAUGCUUCAUAAGUGUUGCAUUUGUAUGAAUAAUCCAUCGUAGUGUUAUCUUCUCGGUCUUUUCGGACUCUUAGGGCUUCAAAAACCAAAUCACUUAACCCCGAGUUAGGUUAAUGUUUUAAGGCAUAUUACCCAUGUGUCAUUCAUUAACCAACUGUUGAUGUGUUAUUCCAUAUGUAGGAACUCUCACAUAUCUUUUCUUCCCCAUGUCACCUUAAUGUCUUCAUCUUGUUUUCCUUCACUUCUAUCCUCUCACACAUUCUUAUCAAUUUCUCACGAGCAACUAUGUUCCCCUCUAGCAAUAUAUGAUACCAAAAAGAGAUUGCAUUGAGAAGCACAUCGAUGAAAAUUUGGCGCAACCAUGGUUUAAUGCAGGAUUAUAGAGAGAGACUCGAAAUGAGAGUCCUAGGGAAUUUUUGUGGUUCAUUAUGUCAUUCACUAUGUAUGAUGACAAGUGGGGAAAAUGGUGAUGCAGUAACAUGGUUACCACGUGAGUGAUACCAUCUUCAUAUCCCACAUAAGGAUUAAGUAAUAUUAUUUUACAUUUUAGGGGUUAAAUCAACCCAAUAAAUAGUUUGAGAGAUUAUCCAGAUAAAUGUGAUACUUUAAGCAAACAAAUAUACUUCUUUGAGAAUAAAUGAAGAAUUUACCACUAACAUGUGCAACGGCAAAAUGAUUUAGCCAACAUCACUUCUCAACAAAGUUCAAUCACGUGGAAUAUUUUGAUAUGUCUAUUUGAAGACAGUAGUGUAUAAUCAAUUAAGUAUGUCUAGAGGGAAUGAAUAGGCUACUAGGCAAAAGGGGAUUAUUUUCCCAAAUUUUAGUUCCCUUCAUAGUUUUAACCUUUUAUAUGGUACUCAAUCAAGCACCCUACGCAUGCAAGUCUACAAGAGUAUAGGCAACGACAUGUGAAGAUUUGCAAGAGUAAAAUAAGAGUAGAGUUAGAGAAAUGUAGACAUUGUGUGGCUGGAUGAAGAUUAUUCCCGUGAUUCGGAUGGUUGGCACUACCCUACUCCAGGUUGGUGGAGGCUUCGUCCACGAAGGAUCUAAGAUCACGAAGAUCAAGGUUGCGAGUUGCACUAAGGAACUAGCCCGUGAAGGACCAUAACCUACCAAGUGUCCACGAAGGAUCAACCAACCUAUGUCAUCAUGGCAAUACGUCCAUGAAUGAUCGAUCGGCCUCACUCGAGGUAGAUCUUCAUGAAGAAUGUGAUAUCUAGGCCGUUACAAACUUCUUGGUUUCUUCACAAUCUUGAUCCCAAGCACCUAGCUGAUCUAGAAGGUGCACACCUACAAAAAAUAAUAAGAUUGAGAUUGCUUGUUGAUGAAUCCCUUACUCUUGUGCUUUAAAAUAUGAUAUCUUCCACACACAAACUAUCUCAAGAUUUGGCUUUUGGAUUGGAGAGUAUGGGUGGGAAGCGAAGAGGUGGUUUGAUGGUUGGAGUAGAACACCCUCUGAAAUAAGCACAAGAAGUUGGAGUUCUCUCUCGAAUCGUAGGGCACGAGUGGGGUUUGCUUUGACUGAACCAAUGGGAUGGGUGGGGUAUAUAUAGGCCGGACCAAAAAUAUGAUCAUUACACAUGCUUUAAUACAACUCUGAAGCUCUGAAUAGACUUAAAGAUGCCAACUUUCAAAUGAAUGGAAUGGUCCGACUGGAUAACAUCCGGAGGAUCUGAGGUGACUACUGCAGCUAUGACACACUCUUUGUAACCACUUUGAAAAUUCUGAGCAGAUGCGUCCAAAAAUUCUAAGAUGGCAAUAGAAGGUUUUUCCAAAUUCUUUAGUGGUUCCGAGUGGAGUACUUGGCAGCUCCGAAGUGCUAGGGUUUGCAACGACUAUAUCUGGAUGAACUGCUCAGCGGUUCCGACUGGAAGAUCUUGGCAGCUCAAUGGCAUGAAGGUAGAUAUAGUGGACAAAAUUAAAGGUUUUGAGGUAAUUGGAGUUUGACCUUAAGCAGGAAAGGAUCAUUAAAUCAUCAAAAUAAGUAUUUGAGGAACUGAAUAUAAAUAAAUCAUCUAUAUGCUAAGUUUGGCAAAACUUCCCAUAAAAGUGAUAUUCAUAAGGAAACGAUAAAAUGUUUCAAGGGGUAUCUAAUAAGGAAAUUCUUGGUAUGCACAAUAAUAAUCCUAUAAUAGCACAACCUAUACCACCCACCACCUCCUACUUGUGUUUGACUACUUAUUUAUUUAUUAUGUCAAACAAAACCAUCCAAUAAAAAACUUACUUUGAGGGGGUACUUCUUUUUCAAAGCUGCAAGAACGGAAUGUUUUAAAAGAAUUCAUCAUAACUAAAAUCCCUACACAUGGUGUAGUUACGAAAUAUCCUAGUGUUUUAACAACACAAAUAACCGAACGUGAACCAAUCAGUGGUAUCCUUGACUAUAUUCUACACACUUUGGGGAAAAUAAUCUUCAUUAAAAUUUUGACAAGGGUGUUGUUUUUAUGUCUAAAAUGAAGUACAACUAUUGACACUAUUGACAUCGAGACUGGAAGGGAACUAGUGGUUUAGCCAUUUAAGUAGCUGAACUAUAGUGGACACGUUGGUCGUACCACUUGCCCUCUUGUCCUCUUCCUAGGUUUUCUAUGACCUUGUUAUAUCCUUAGAAUAAGAAUCAGUCUCGUGUGUGGUUGUCAAUGGUAAUUAUACGUAAACUCGUGCAGCACUACAGUUAAACCAUAGCAAGAUAAAAGAACAACAUGAUCCAAGUUCUUAGUGGAGCAAAAGUAAAAAAGAUAUCAAUCCAACUCACUCCCUCUCUCUCUCUAUCUANNNNNNNNNNNNNNNNNNNNNNNNNNNNNNNNNNNNNNNNNNNNNNNNNNNNNNNNNNNNNNNNNNNNNNNNNNNNNNNNNNNNNNNNNNNNNNNNNNNNNNNNNNNNNNNNNNNNNNNNNNNNNNNNNNNNNNNNNNNNNNGGGGGGGGGGGCACUCAAUUCUAGUUUGAGAAUUGUUCUUGUAAUAGCAAUCACAAGUUUAUUAGGAAGUUCUUGUAAUAUCAAUCACAAGUUUAUCAAGUAUCUUCCACAUAUGAAGGUUACACAUGCAUUUUGCGUUAUACUUUAUAAGAGUAGACAUUUUCACAUAUGUGCAUUUUGUCACUAUCUUCAAAAUAACACUCAUGCCAAUGGUGUAUAAUAUUCACAUAUCUAGUUUUAGGAACAUAUUGGCAAACUCUUUACCUGUCCAUAAUUGGUUGCGAGAAAAAAAUAUCAAAGAUAUUGGACCUUAGCCCAUGUUUUUUCAUCUCCCUAAGUUUAGAUUUCAAUAUUUCCUUUGAUCUAGACCAACCUUCUUGAUGUCUCCUCUAGUCGACAUCAUUUUUAGUGAAACCAAUUGAUAUCUACGUGUCAAUAUAACAAACACUCUCUCUUUACAAGAACAAGACUUUUAUUCCAUACGUAUGAUAUCAAGAGUAGAAAGAAGCCACACAUAGCCCCGACUUCCAAAAAGGAUGCAACUUACGCUAUAGAACAUGUGCUUUAGUGUUUAGUCCCUCUCU